GACGAACGCUGGCGGCGUGCUUAACACAUGCAAGUCGAACGGUAAGGCCCUUCGGGGUACACGAGUGGCGAACGGGUGAGUAACACGUGGGUGAUCUGCCCUGCACUUUGGGAUAAGCCUGGGAAACUGGGUCUAAUACCGAAUAGGACUCCGGACUGCAUGGUCUGGGGUGGAAAGCUUUUGCGGUGUGGGAUGGGCCCGCGGCCUAUCAGCUUGUUGGUGGGGUGAUGGCCUAGCAAGGCGACGACGGGUAGCCGGCCUGAGAGGGUGACCGGCCACACUGGGACUGAGAUACGGCCCAGACUCCUACGGGAGGCAGCAGUGGGGAAUAUUGCACAAUGGGCGCAAGCCUGAUGCAGCGACGCCGCGUGAGGGAUGACGGCCUUCGGGUUGUAAACCUCUUUCAGCACAGACGAAGCGCAAGUGACGGUAUGUGCAGAAGAAGGACCGGCCAACUACGUGCCAGCCGCCGCCGUAACAC
rnacentral:rRNA from 1 species